ensembl:snoRNA SNORA63 Small nucleolar RNA SNORA63
GUGCAGGAUAAGUUACAAUGCAGCCUGUGCAGUACUGUAUUGUCGUUCCCCCUGCAGAAAGUCAAAAUGUUUCCUCGCUAUCCCUGUCUGUCAUUUUUUUUCGUUGACUGUCAGGGACGUAAGGUUUCAGACAC